AUUGAACGCUGGCGGCAUGCUUCACACAUGCAAGUCGAACGGUAACAGGUCUUCGGAUGCUGACGAGUGGCGAACGGGUGAGUAAUGCAUCGGAACGUGCCCAGUCGUGGGGGAUAACGCAGCGAAAGCUGCGCUAAUACCGCAUACGAUCUAUGGAUGAAAGCGGGGGACCGUAAGGCCUCGCGCGAUUGGAGCGGCCGAUGUCAGAUUAGGUAGUUGGUGGGGUAAAGGCCCACCAAGCCAACGACCUGUAGCUGGUCUGAGAGGACGACCAGCCACACUGGGACUGAGACACGGCCCAGACUCCUACGGGAGGCAGCAGUGGGGAAUUUUGGACAAUGGGCGCAAGCCUGAUCCAGCAAUGCCGCGUGCAGGAAGAAGGCCUUCGGGUUGUAAACUGCUUUUGUACGGAACGAAACGGUUCUCUCUAAUACAGAGGGCUAAUGACGGUACCGUAAGAAUAAGCACCGGCUAACUACGUGCCAGCCGCCGCCGUAAAAC
rnacentral:rRNA from 1 species